rnacentral:sRNA from 1 species
UUGACAAUCUGACCGUGAAGGCAUACUUUCAGGAGUGAGGGUUGAGCGGGGUUUCCCCCGCCCUGGUAGUCUUAGUAAGCCGGGAAGCUUAUGACUAAGAGCACCACGAUGAUGAUCCACUUCAUCAUGACCCUUUCCUUA